rnacentral:lncRNA from 1 species
AAACUAAGCAACAAAGGUUUAAACAUUUAUUUCUGAAUGGUUUGGGGAUAUAAACUAGUACAGGGUCAUUUCUUAGAGGAAUGAACUUGGUCCCAGCAUUUCGAACUAACAACCUAGCAACCUGUAUGACAUCAUUGACUUGAAAUGAAAUGCUCACAAGGCUUCAGGAAAACCAAACUGGUUUGUGGUAGUUGCCACACAUGCAAUGAAAAUGUCGGCAGUGUAUUGAGAAGAUGAAUUAUCAACCCUUUGCAACAUAUUCUCCAGCUUCAGAGCCAUAUUUGGCUGUGCUUCCAACUUCUAUAUCCAUCUUGAUAAUCUAUCACAUCCCAUCAGCCACCACAAUCCAAACAAAUAUAACAUGGUCAUGACUUGAUAAUAUUGCAACAAAACAAAACAAAGCAUUGCAUUCAUUUAUAGUUGGAAAAAAGAUUCACAUCCCUCAGAAUCACUGAAUCAUCAAAGAUCAGGCCACUACUUUUAGAUUGCAUAGCAUUCAUCAUAGGGAUGUGGAAACUAUGAUACAUAUAUAGCUUACAAAGAACACUACACUCAGUACAGAUUUAUGGUACAAUAAUUCAGUGCUUUUAAACUUAUAAAUCUUCCCAUGAAAAAGCAAAACAAACUUCCAUAGAAAGAUAGAAGCAACAGCCAAGUUUCAACAGAGAAAGACACAUAUGUCCACACAAAAUUAAUUCAAGGAUUCUGAAAAAGCAACUGAUAUAUGAGUUGAUAAGUUUCAAACACAAUCGAAACUAAAGAAGCCCAUCCUUUGGGAUUAAUAUUUCAUCAGUAACCAACAAUCAGUCCAAUACUUUUAAUUUGCUUACUACUCAUCAUCGGGAUGCAAUGAAUCUAACCAGCCAAAUAUCAGCAGAUCACAAAGAGGCUAUCUAUGUUCACAAAACAUUGAAACGUUAAGCACAUUGCUCACCACUACUUUUAAUUUCAAAAUCAUUCUUCAUAGGGACUUAAAAAGUCAAAUUCUUUAGCAACAGAAAAUGCAAACCAAAAAGCAGAUAAAAGUCAUAAACACAACUGAACAGCAAAUAAAACUCAAUCAACCCGCAACAUGGAAAAUGAGAUAACAAAAAAAAAAAUUCAGAUUGGUGAUGAAAAAAAGAAAUUUUAUCAGACAAUGGAUUUAAGAGUUAGUUUCUCCUCUUCAUCUCCGACUUCCUACAAAAGAGAAGAACAGCUAAUACAGUGGAUGACUUGAUGCCGGCUUUUUGUUUGGAUUUA